GGGGUAAGAGCCUCCCAAGGCGACGAUCGGUAGCUGGUCUGAGAGGACGAACAGCCACACUGGGAUUGAGAACGGCCCAGACUCCUACGGGGGGCAGCAGUGAGGAAUUUUCCGCAAUGGGCGAGCAGCCUGACGGAGCAACGCCGCGUGCAGGAGGACGCUUUUCGGAGUGUAAACUGCUUUUCUGUGGGACGAGCGAGGACGGUACCACAGGAAGAAGCCCCGGCUAACUACGUGCCAGCAGCCGCGGUAAUACGUAGGGGGCGAGCGUUGUCCGGAGUUACUGGGCGUAAAGGGCAUGCAGGCGGUCGGGCGCGUUUGGUGUGACAGCGCAGGGCUCAACUCUGCGAGCAUACGAAAGACGGCCUGACUUGAGGGCUCGAGAGGGACACGGAAUUCCGGCUGGAGUGGUGAAAUGCGUAGAGAUCCGGAGGAACACCGAAGGCGAAGGCAGUGUCCUGGCGAGUAUCCUGACGCUGAGGUGCGAAAGCCAGGGGAGCGAACGGGAUUAGAUACCCCGGUAGUCCUGGCCGUAAACGAUGACCACCAGGUGUGGGAGGUAUCGACCCCUUCUGUGCCAAAGGGAACCCAUUAAGU
rnacentral:rRNA from 1 species